CACAUUACCUUGCUGACUCUUUGUGUCCUCAUCUGUAAAACAGAACUAUGAUGGCUACAUUCAUUUCCUUAGGGUUCUGGGAAGGAUUAAAUGAACUGCACUGCAUGGAAGCAAUUUUUAGACUCUAAAAACUUUGCAAUUGGGCAUCAUUUUCUAAAUCCCCUGAACCAGUAUCAGACUGUAAGGGGUAAGUAUGUGGGCCACGUAGGGGGUCAGGGCUGUCAGACUCCACUUCCAGGAGAGAGUUAAACACUCCUCGUAUGGACUUUUAUUGUACUAUCAAAUCCAAUCUCAAAAUAUCUUCAUAGGCGACAUGUUUGUCUCUUCCCAGUUUUGCAGCCACAUCAGUUUCUGAUUAGACUUACAAUUAAAGUGGGGAAGUGACUUUGGAAGAGACAUGCGUGCUGUCAGCAGAUGGGAGAGAGGAUCGAGAAAGAUGGAGGGAGGCUGCUGUAACACCUGUUCUGGUUGGGAUUCUGAAUGAAUAUGAAAGUGGCUCUCCCUGUGAGAGGAGUAUGCUUCUUGAUCACUGAAGGCUGACUAGGCGAUGCAGAAGGUGCUGUCAGCCACGAAGGCACUGAUGGAGAACCAGCAUCAAGCAGUACAGUGGCCCCAGAUUUUGCUGAAGAAAGAAAGCACAAUAGGACAAAAAGAAGGGUCAUUUGUCUCUCAUGAUAUUUGUCAAAAAAUAGAGCUAGCUAUGGAGAGAUGGGAGGUGCCAACAGGUAAGUCCUCCACCUGUAUCUGAAGUAACAGCUGUAGGCUUAGGAAGAGGUGGGGUAAAUGUCUUUGGUGUAGUAGAGAAGCUACAACUCAUUUAAUUCUACAUAUGUGUUGAAUUACAAGAAACUGAGAUACAUACUGAAAGUGAGGACUAUGUGAGUCUAAGGGAAGUUGUCACUAACUUGAAACAUCAGUGGAAUCUUCAGAAAUAUCAACUAUGCAGAGGAGAGGGAGAGAGGAUGAUUUGAAAUGAUGGGUCCAUAGUUUGAGAUGCCUAUCUGACAAUGUAACUCUCCUUCUGUGUGCAGGUGCAUUUGUGUGUAGGUGUACGCCUUUGGGGUAGGAUAGAGAGUAGGCAGAGCCUGCAACUCUGAAUGAAUAGGUUAGAAACUACUGAUUUGGCCAUGAAGAGGCCACCAUAGAGAUCUCAUAUAUAAUGGAGGCAACAUCUGAAACUUGGUUCUAAAAGACCUAAGAUUGUUGGGACUUUGAAACUUGGAAAUCUAUUAUUUCCAAAUAGGCAGCAUUUCUUUCUUUCUUUUUUUUUUUUUUUUUUUGUUUUUUUCCUCAAUAGUUGAAGAAGUUUGUUAUCUGGAGCAGACUGUUCUCUUUUUUCAAGUGACCAGCUGAAAGAGCUUUAUUAUGACACACAAAGCAAACUCCACUGCCAACCAUUUAUAUUGGUUAUAGAUAGCCCAUGUUAAUAUAUCCAAAAAUAAGCUUUGAGCUUAGAUGAGAAUGAAGCGGUCAUAGCAAGGCAGAAUAUCAAUUCUAGUCACUCAGUCCACACACAACCAUAUACCCAUGUGCACACACACACUCACAUAGACACAUACACAUCCUACAUACAUAUACAUAUCCUGUCAAUCCUUGUCUGAGUCUUGAUGGUUAGAGGAGUUUUGCUAGAAACUAAAUGUACUGUUUUAACAAAAUAUUUGGGAACAAAGAGAUUCUAGAUCCAAACAGAAAUGCUUGGAGAUCCAGAUUGCACAGAAUAGGGGGAGGCCAUUCUCUCAGCUCUACCCAGAGGAUAAAAGACUUUGGAAACUUUGGGUAGUGACACCCUUGGCCCAGGCAAUGGUAGCUUUCAAGAGGUAUGUCAGGUAUGACAGCUUCAUAGAUAAUAGACAUUGAUAAACAGGAGAGAAAAAGACACAAGGGCCUCUUUGUGGUGACUAUGGCUGCCAGCCUGAUUUGUGGAUAUGUAGUAAGCCUUCUGUAAAGGCCUCAAAACCACUAAGAACAGAAGAAGGGGAAGUAGGGUGGGUGGGAUAAGUCAUUGUAUGUAGGAAACAAUAAGCCACUGUCACUGAAGUGUAAAUGUCAAAGUGAUUAUUAUUAUCCUCCCAGGCUAUAAAAGACCCUGAUUUUUAAGUUACAUAUGGGGAUAAAGAAUGAAGCCAAAGUUGAAACUCCUGUUAAUCAUUUAACCCCACCGAGGCAUGCAUGCCUACAUCUUGAAUAUAGCUCUUUUGCACUUGACAAUUAGACCAAGUCAAGAAAGGCCACGGGCUAUUAAUUCCUUUUCCCAACCACCUCCAGGCCUUUUUACCAUCCUUGGAAAUAAGACUAGGUUUUUUACUUUUUAAUUUUUUUCCUUCAUUUAGCUUUCGAUGGGCCUUGGGGGUUGGGAGACAGAAGAGAGAGAAAUGGGAUUAAAAUGUAGGUCAGCUGGUAAGUUAUUUACAAAUGGCUGAGAGAAUAGAACAAGGACAUACUUGGUCAAGUCCUUGGCAAAGGCCUUAAAGGAAGAUGUAAAGAAGAACAAUCACUUUGUGUGAAAGAGUCACCUCUUUCGGGGUCAAAGCCACUUUCCUGAGUUGCUGAAGCGAAUCUUUAUUUUUUCCUAAAACUCAACAGACGCAUCUUCAGAACCUAAUUUGAUUUUGAUUGAUUUUUGAAACUUGAAACACUUCUAAACUAAUUUUGAGUAUAUUACUCUUGUCAACGCUUAAAGAUUUUGUCAGGAGGAAUUUGCUGAACAGACACAGUAAUUUUGUUUCUCAUUCUGGCAUAUCACCCCUAAAGAGGAAGCCCAGGGAGGGAGGCAGCUCCGUUACUACAGCUGCUGCUAUUAGAAUAUACAUUGCAAUUACUUCGUUGCUAUUUUGGGGGCCUUCUCAACCAGUUCAUGCCACAACCCAUGGGAGCUAGACGUCUGAAAUAAGAAUCACAGAAUUGUAGACUCUUCUUCAGUCAGACCUGGGAUAUAGAGGAGGGACUUUAGACCCAGAGAGAAGUGAUUCAUUCAAGGUCAUAUAGCAAUUUAGUGGCAAGCCUGGGACUAGAGGACAUCUUCACAUUUUUAGUCCACUUGUCUCCCCAGUGUAUCAAGAAGCACAGAAGCUAGCUAGGUCAGCCCUGCAGUGGUCAUGGACCAAACUGGGAUUUAUUAAAUAAAUAUACCAGUGACAACGUCAAUGGGAGAAGGGGCCCUUAAUUGCAGUCGAUACACCAAUCAAUAGGCAGUAAAAGUCACUCUGAUGGCCCAGCACAACGCUGCCCCUAGGAAGUGUAGGGGCUGUGUUCAGUGUCUCUCCUUUUGUCUAGCCACAGUCAGCAGAUCCAUUGGGGGCUGUUGGAAAUAACAGUGGCAUUACAAGAUAAUAA
ensembl:lncRNA